rnacentral:rRNA from 1 species
GUGAGGAAUAUUGCACAAUGGGCGCAAGCCUGAUGCAGCAACGCCGCGUGAGGGACGAAGGCCUUCGGGUCGUAAACCUCUUUUCUGAGGGACGAGAAAGGACGGUACCUCAGGAAUAAGUCUCGGCUAACUACGUGCCAGCAGCCGCGGUAACACGUAGGAGGCAAACGUUAUCCGGAAUUACUGGGCGUAAAGCGCACGCAGGCGGCAUCGUAAGUCCGACGUGAAAGCUCCUGGCUUAACUGGGAGAGGCCGUUGGAUACUGCGAAGCUCGAGGUUGGGAGAGGAGAGUGGAAUUCCCGGUGUAGUGGUGGAAUGCGUAGAUAUCGGGAGGAACUCCAGUGGCGAAAGCGACUCUCUGGCCUACACCUGACGCUAAAGUGCGAAAGCGUGGGUAGCGAACAGGAUUAGAAACCCCAGUAGUCC